GGCGACACCAGAGCAGCUGAGCAAAAUGAGAUCUGUAUCUGGCAGAGGGAAGGAGACACACCGGGACGGUGGUGGCUUUAAUGUCAAUUGUCCUUAAGGAACAAGAUAAACCGUCUCUGUCCUCGUGGUCUAGCCCAUGAUGACAGGAGGAAUGGGCUGUGUGCUGCUGUCCAGCUAUAGGCCCCUGAAAGACUCCCCCAGAUGUGCGCGCAAGCCUAAGCACUCAUGUGCACAAUGUUCAUGCUUCUCUGCGUGAGGCGAACAGAGGU
rnacentral:lncRNA from 1 species